rnacentral:rRNA from 1 species
CACGCAGGCGGUCAGGAAAGUCAGAUGUGAAAUUCCGGGGCUCAACCCCGGAGCUGCAUUUGAGACUUCCUAUCUAGAGUUCAGUUGGGGAAAACGGAAUUCCACGUGUAGCGGUGAAAUGCGUAGAUAUGUGGAAGAACACCGGUGGUGAAGACGGUUUUCUGGGCUGAUACUGACGCUGAGGCGCGAAAGAGGGAGGCGAAC